rnacentral:tRNA from 10 species
GGCCCCGUCGUCUAGUGGCCCAGGACGCCGCCCUCUCAAGGCGGUAGCGCCGGUUCGAAUCCGGUCGGGGCUACAA